ensembl:lncRNA
UACGAAAGAUUUAGAAAAUACGCUUCUUUAAAAUAACAUAAUUCAUCUUAUGAAUACAACUCCAUUGAUAGACAACCAGCUAAUGUAACAUUUGAGAUUUUUAUUAUUUUAAAUGCAUGUUCAUACCUAAUAAUAAUACAUUCAGCUCAUAUUGCGCUUUUCUAAAUACUCAAAGUCGCUUAACAGAGUAAACAGAAAAAAAACAUUUAAUUAUAACGUAUAUAAGUAAAAAGAUAAAAUAGGAGGAAAAUAGGUAUCUAAAAAACUGAAAUAGGUAUAAAAGAGAGGAAUAGUUCAAAGGAGGGAGGGUGAAGAAGGGAAGGAGGUUAUGUGUUGAAAGCGAUCUUGAAAAGGUGGGUUUUGAGGGCCUGUUAAAAUGAAGGGAGUGUGUUAGAUGUUACAUGGGUGACAGUACACACUUAUGCCGCUUUUCCACUGCAUGGUACCAGCUCGACACGACUCGACUCAGCUCGCAUUUUUGCGUUUCCACCCGCGAAACAUGGUAUCUGGUACCUGAAGUGGCUGCUUUUUCUAGUACCGCCUCGCUCUAGGUUCCAAGCGAGCUGAGCCGAUGCUAAAAGGUGACGUCGGCAGACGGCCGGCCACUGAUUGGCCAGAGUGUGACGAAGUCACGAGAGCGACAUGGCAACCAUGCUGGUAACAGCCAUAGCAGCGCCGCAGCCAACAUAUUCCACUUCUUCCACUUCUUCAACAUGCCAGCUAAUAAUACGAACACGAAUACCAUCGCAUCGAUGUCCUCCAUUGUUGCUAUGUGGGUUGCGUAGGUGUUGUUUGCGUCGCGUACAAAAAUACGUCACGACCCUUUCGCGCAGCCGACCCCGCCCACGUCCAGGAGGUACUAUUUGCGGUGGAAAAGGACCCGUGCUGCUACCGUGUCGUGUCGUGUCGAGUCGUGUCGAGUCGAGCUACAUGUGCGGUGGAAAAGCGGCAUUAGAAACAGGAAACAGAAAACCGUGAAAAGCUCAUGCAGUUUUCUGGUCCGAACAGUGGAGGGAAAAGAGCAGAAGAAAGUGGAGACUAGAAAUGAAUAACAACAUUACAUUAUGACAUGAUGAUCUGAUGACAUGGUGACAUGGUGACAUGGUGACAUGGUGACAUGAUGACAUGGUGACAUGAUGACCUCAUAUGGUUGUACAAGGUGGUUCUGGGGGACAGCAGCGUCAGUCCAGGGCUGUGGUGGUGCUGGUUCUGGGGGACAGCAGCGUCAGUCCAGGGCUGUGGUGGUGCUGGUUCUGGGGGACAGCAGCGUCAGUCCAGGGCUGUGGUGGUGCUGGUUCUGGGCGUCCUGCUGGUCUUGUUGGUGUGGAGGAGCAGGAGAGCCAGGCCACAGCAGCAGAGCACACUCUUCACCACCAUCACUGUGUAGAGCACAGACGCCAGCCUGGCUCUGGACAGCACCUGGAGGGACUCUGGGACCCCACCAACACACAGCCCAUACUGGUUUAUACUGGUCCAUAUGCACCAUAGAGGCCUAUGCUGGUUUAUACUGGUCCAUAUGCAUCAUAGUGGUCUAUACUGGUGACACUAUACUGGUUAAUAUACACCGCAAUGGUUUAUACUGGUCUAUAGUUAUAUGUACCCACCAUUGUGGUCUAUACUGGUGACGCUACACUGGUUAAUAUGCACUGUAAUGGUUUAUACUGGCCUAUAGUUAUAUGUACCCACCAUUGUGGUCUAUACUAGUUUUUGCAGCUUAAAAAACUAUUUUUACGGGUUUAAACGCACCAUAGAGGUCUACACUGGUUUAUACGUGCCAUACUGGUUUAUACUGGUUUAUAAUGGCUUGUACAGUCCAUACUGUUAUAAACUGGUUGUACUGGUUUAUAUUAGUUUGUACUGGUUUACACUCCAUGGUGUAUACAUAUAUUAAUGUAUUCUUGAUGAAAUACCGCACUGCUAAUCCAGAGGCCACUUGAGGUUCCUACAGCAGUUCAGAGUGAGAGCAGCUGAUCUUACGGUGUGUUUCAUCUGAAGGACCUUCUCUGGGUCUCCCUGGACGCCGGGGGUCUGUAGUUACUGCCGUCGCUAAGGUAACAUCUGUCUUUCCGGGGCCUUCUGAAGUCAAGGUAGUUUCAGUCAGAGGUGAAAGUCAGCGUUUGUGGGUUAUUAAUAGACUUCAUGUCCCAGGUGAUAGACAGUGGGGUUAGUGAUAGACAACAAGCUGAUGUGUAGGGGUUGUAGUUCUUCAUUACCUGCUGGGACCUCCACCUCCUGCAGACCGCUCUCAUGCUCAACUCUACAGAUGUAUUGAUCUGUGAGGGUUUCUCCCUGAUCAAUAACCAGGAUGCUGGCAGCGUAUGUCGGUCCUCUGGGCUCCAGCUGCUCCCCGUCCUUCCCCCCCCCUCUGCCCCCCCUUCUCCUCCUCCAGGACACCCGGACCUCCUCAGGGACCAUGUCUCUGGCUACACACAGCAGGGAG